GAUGAACGCUAGCGGCAGGCUUAAUACAUGCAAGUCGUGGGGCAGCAUGAGUAGCAAUACUUGAUGGCGACCGGCAAACGGGUGAGGAACACGUACACAACCUUCCUUCAAGCGGGGAAUAGCCCAGAGAAAUUUGGAUUAAUACCCCAUAAUAUAUUUGAUAAGGCAUCUUAUUAAAUAUUAAAGCUUCGGCACUUGAUGAUGGGUGUGCGGCUGAUUAGAUAGUUGGCGGGUAACGGCCCACCAAGUCUACGAUCAGUAGCUGAUGUGAGAGCAUGAUCAGCCACACGGGCACUGAGACACGGGCCCGACUCCUACGGGAGGCAGCAGUAAGGAUAUUGGACAAUGGACGAAAGUCUGAUCCAGCCAUGCCGCGUGAAGGAUUAAGGUCCUCUGGAUUGUAAACUUCUUUUAUAUGGGACGAAAAAGGGCAUUCUGUUCACUUGACGGUACCAUAUGAAUAAGCACCGGCU
rnacentral:rRNA from 1 species